GAUGAACGCUGGCGGCGUGCCUAAUACAUGCAAGUCGAGCGGUAACACUUCGGGUGACGAGCGGCGGACGGCUGAGUAACGCGUAGGAACAUACCCCAGAGUGAGGGAUAAGCACCAGAAAUGGUGUCUAAUACCGCAUAACCUCUUCGGAGAAAAGCUUCGGCGCUUUGGGAAUGGCCUGCGUAUGAUUAGCUUGUUGG
rnacentral:rRNA from 1 species